UAGCAUGAGUCAGCAGCCCCGUGUCUGUUCACCCCAGAGCCUCUGCCAAGACCAAGUUCCUGAUGCUGCAAAGUCGAGGGCUUGACCUGGGGACCCCAGUGAAUCGAUCAGACAAAUGUGCCCCCUUCGGGCCUCAGGAACCAGGCAGCUAGCCUCUCCAAGAGAAGGGCGAUGAAAAGGAGCCUGCUUCCCAGGAAAACACACUGUGGAAGAUCUUUUACACCUGCUGUUGGGAGCAUCAACUACGGAGGAUGAUUGACCUCAAAUUCAUUUCUGAGGAAGGAUGAAGUGUUUGGGCAUUCCCGUAACCAGGACCUCAAAUUCAUUUCUGAGGAAGGAUAAAGUGUUUGGGCAUUCCCGUAACCAAUGACAUGUUUCUUGGUGAACAGGUGCGGAACAGAAAGAGGCAGGACGCCACUUAAGCACUUGGUGGGAAGCUUCUCUCUGAAAUGCGCUAACAGGAAGAAAAAGUAGGGAAAGCUCACUCAAAGAGAUCCUCAAACAUACGCUGGCCCAUGGCUAUGUAUGCUUCCUUCUCUUCUGGUGUCAUCUGGGCUACCAGCUCUGGCCGCUGGUUAACUUCACUGUAGGAGAAUGGGCAGCCAGCCACCAUAACAAUGGGGUCGUCUGUUACUUCUUCAAACUCCUCCUCUUCCUCAUCCUCCUCCUGAUGAUGAGAAGCCACAGCUGCUGGCCGGGGUGGAGAGUCAUCAUCCGACUCACUGGUCUCACUCUCCGAGUCACUGCCAUUGGCAGCAGUCACGGGAGCAGCCGCUCCCACUGAGGCAGCCGUCGUGGAAGAAGUCUUUUUCUCGUGAAUAAGCAGAGCUCGCAUGACCUCCUCAUUGUCAUCAGGCCCUGAACGUGCUUCAUCACGCUCCUGAAAUGCACCCAUAUCAAUGCCACCUGGAAGUUAAAACCCAGAAAGUCAAGAUCCUUAAACACAAAGGGCAUCCAUUUGUAACUAAUAGAAAAAGACUUCAUUGUGUUACGUUUAAACAGAUAAAUAACACAAAGAGAUGCCACCGCUUCCAUUUUCUGAGCUGCUGCUCUCCAAAAUAGCCAAGUGUUUCUUAACAACUAGAGCCUGAGUAUCACAAUGAGCAAACUAAUAAGUACAUGGAAUUUACAGGUUUAUAGACGCUUACAUGGCUGAGAAUUCUCCCCCUCCCCAUGCAAGCCGUACUAUUUGGAGCAGAUGUUUUCAUUUCUAAACUUUAGGAGGUGACAAACGGCACACCUUCUCAGAGUCUGGGCGUGAACCUGUGAGAUGACAGCAAGACAGGACCAAGUACAGCUGGCAUGACUGGGAACGAACGAAGGCGUGGUUCUUCGCCAUGCUCAGAGUAAAGGCCAGAGGCCUUGCAAUGCCUAUAAGGUGCCGCCUCAUCUACACUCCUGGCCACCUACCUCUUCCCCACUCACUCUGUGACAGCCACAGCUGGUAUCCCUUGUACAGAGAAGACACAUACUCCCUCGGGUUCAUUAAAAAAAGAUUUGACUGCUUCAAGAACAGUGAAGAAGACAAUUGGGGAAAAUAAAUCUAUUAAAUAAGACAGCCUAACUACUACAUAACCUACAACAACUCCAAUCAAAAUAACUAAACACUGCAGGUUAAUCAGUAAAGAGGAAGGAAAGUAUGGUUGUCACGAAGUAUUUUCCUGACUGGAACAGGACUCUCAAAGGAAAUCAAUUAUACAAGAGGUAUUUUCUGCAGCCCCAAUAUCUACACUUCACUACUGCUGGUUUAUACUGUAUGCUAAACACAAAUCUUAAGAAAGAAGGUAGGGGAAGGUUAGAACACAAGUGCCCUCCAGUAACCGAUGAUGCUCAGCACUGAAGAGCCCAUCCCUGUGACAAGCUGGUAACAACCCCUAGCCCAGACACAGAGACUGCAUCCCAUCCCCGCUGCUUUCCAGUCCCUUAGCAGUCUUUGUUGUACAGUUUCAGCUAUUGUUUUCUAUACUGUCACCCAACGUUGAAUCCAGUACCCACGCUAGAACUUACAAAGUAAAACCUUGCACUUCUUAACCUGGCAAAAGUUAUUACCCAAUUGCUAAUCCUUUCAGGUUCAGAGACUUACAAAAUUGUCUUCUCGGACAUAGGGGCGUUCAGUCCUUCAUCAUGUGCUAUUUUUGUAUAAUCUGUGACGCUAGUUCUGGAGAAUUUGACAUCCUCUCUGACCUCCUUGGACACCAGCUGUGCAUGUAGCGCAUACACAUAUGUACAGGCAAGCACUAAUACACAUCAAAAUAAAUAUAUCUUUUAAAAGCAGAGAUUUAAAAACCUAUUGCUGUUUUGACUAAGCUGGAAGACAACAGAACAUGUUGGUUGGUUUUAAUGCUUACUGCUCAGUUUCAAGCAAUACAUUUCCAAUAAAACCAAGAAUUACCCAGGCAUUCACCAAAUCCAUGACAUAUUAAUCUCACUGACUUCUCACUCUUACCUUCC